GUCGUUAACGAACGAGACCUUAACCUGCUAAAUAGCCCGUAUUGCUUUGGCAGUACGCUGGCUUCUUAGAGGGACUAUCGGCUCAAGCCGAUGGAAGUUUGAGGCAAUAACAGGUCUGUGAUGCCCUUAGAUGCUCUGGGCCGCACGCGCGCUACACUGACAGAGCCAGCGAGUACAUCACCUUAGCUGAAAAGUCUGGGUAAUCUUGUUAAACUCUGUCGUGCUGGGGAUAGAGCAUUGCAAUUAUUGCUCUUCAACGAGGAAUGCCUAGUAAGCGCAAGUCAUCGGCUUGCGUUGACUACGUCCCUGCCCUUUGUACACACCGCCCGUCGCUAAUACCGAUUGAAUGGGUU
rnacentral:rRNA from 1 species